rnacentral:tRNA from 1 species
GCCUGGGUGGCUCAGUCGGUUAAGCGCCUGACUUCGGCUCAGGUCGUGAUCUCGUGGUUCGUGAGUUCAAGCCCCGCAUCAGGCU